rnacentral:lncRNA from 1 species
GUCUGUUCCUAAGCAUGAAGGAGGACCACAUGAGGAUCCUGGACACCUACUGCAUGAAUGUAUUCACCCUUUCAGGUCUAGGGACCUGGGUACCUUGGGACAGAGGGAGUGCAGAGCAGAGAAAACCUACCUGUGCAACUGAGAAGGCCGCUCAGGCCACGGGGACAGGGCAGGAAUGCUCUCAGGAGUGUCCCCUGCACCUGAACUUGAUUUCACGCCAUCACCUUCCGCCUCUUAACCAGCAUCUCCUGGACAGUCAGCCGAGUGUUUCCAUGAUACCAGCCAUACCUGAUGCCAGGAGACUCGCUACACUUGGAAGCUCUUCAAGGCAUGCUUAUCUUUGUGAACUGAAUCUUGGAGAAGCAGGAUUGAAAAUAAGAGCUAUCUUUGAGGCUCUAGCACCUACAAGAGACACCCUCCCUCUCCACCGUGGAUCACCUGUCUCACCCGUGUGAGUCUCCACACAGAAACCAGUCAUGGCCCUGCCUUUGCCCCCCUUGAAAUCACCCAAGAGGAUGCUUCAAACUCAGGUUUAACAUCCUCCCAGGAUGUCAACUGGAAGAUCAUGCCGUUCCUGACAAUUAGAAGUUUAGAGAGUGAGGUGGCUGGAGAUACAGCACGUUGAUUAUCUGUGACACAAUCAGUCAGAAGCAGGACCACAUGAAUUCUCCAUCAUCAAACAAAAUGACUGGCUUUCUGUGUGAUUCUUCACACUGUGAAUGCAGCUACUAAUAACACUGAUUUUACUUCAGGCAAGAGAAACAGAGCCUCUCAUUUUCCU